UACGUAGGGUGCAAGCGUUAAUCGGAAUUACUGGGCGUAAAGCGUGCGCAGGCGGUUAUGUAAGACAGAUGUGAAAUGCCCGGGCUUAACCUGGGAACUGCAUUUGUGACUGCAUGGCUAGAGUUUGGCAGAGGGGGUGAGAAUUCCACGUGUAGCAGUGAAAUGCGUAGAUAUGUGGAGGAACACCGAUGGCGAAGGCAGCCCCCUGGGUCAAGACUGACGCUCAUGCACGAAAGCGUGG
rnacentral:rRNA from 1 species